rnacentral:rRNA from 1 species
UACGGAGGGGGCGAGCGUUAUUCGGAAUUAUUGGGCGUAAAGGGCGCGUAGGCGGCUUGGCAAGUCAAAGGUGAAAUCCCUCGGCUCAACUGAGGAACUGCCUUUGAAACUGCCUGGCUUGAGGCCGGGAGGGGGUAGCGGAAUUCCCAGUGUAGCGGUGAAAUGCGUAGAUAUUGGGAGGAACACCAGUGGCGAAGGCGGCUACCUGGACCGGAACUGACGCUGAUGCGCGAAAGCGUGGGGAGCAAACAGG